AUGAUGCUUGAUCCAGAUGAUGCGACCAUGUACUCAAACAGGAGCCUUUGCUCGCUCCGCAUGGGUGACGGAGACAAGGCUUUGGUAGAUGCUAACGAAUGCAGAAAAAUGCGGCCUGAUUGGCCAACAGCCUGUUACCGGCAGGGCGCGGCUCUGAUGUUACUGAAGGAUUACAAGGGUGCUUGUGAAAGUUGCCUGGAUGGACUCAAGUUGGACCGAGCUAACACUGAGAUUGAGGAUGCAUUACGGAAAGCUUAUGAUGCCAUGCAAGAUGUCUCGAAGCACCAAGGCUGA
rnacentral:rRNA from 1 species